rnacentral:rRNA from 1 species
AUGAAGUUAAGAUCGGAGCUUGACAUUAGCAAGGACAAAGAUAUCAAGACAAAGGAUUUGAGGAAUAAGCUCAAGGUGCUCGUCAAGGAUCCUAGCAAAGAUGACCUUGCUCUGAAAGUGUUCUUCAUUAUUGUGUUUAUGAAGGUUGUGUUGCCUGGAUCUGCCCCGCGUGUUUCCAGAGAGGCAGCAAUGUUUGAGGGUCUCGUCUUUGAGGACAUGGCUAAUAUGGAUUAUUGCCAGCUGAUGGUUGAUGAGCUUAGAAGGGCUGUUGCCAAGUACCAAAGUGGUCAUACCACGGGGAAGGCAAUCACAGGCUGUGCCAUAGGGCCUGUACUAAUGUACCUUGACUUCCUUAUCCGUGGCAAAACUGCGGAGCCUAACAUGUGA